UACAGAGGUGGCAAGCGUUGUUCGGAAUUACUGGGCGUAAAGGGCGCGUAGGCGGUUCGGUAAGUCCUGUGUGAAAUCCCUCGGCUCAACUGAGGAACUGCACGGGAGACUGCCGGGCUUGAGUUCGGGAGAGGGAAGCGGAAUUCCAGGUGUAGCGGUGAAAUGCGUAGAUAUCCGGAGGAACACCGGUGGCGAAGGCGGCUUCCUGGACCGACACUGACGCUGAGGCGCGAAAGCUAGGGGAGCAAACGGG
rnacentral:rRNA from 1 species